UGUACUGCUGGUGCUAUAACAUUAUCGGAUUACUAAGUCUACUUGUACUCACCCAAGUGGUGAUAGUUGUUUGGUCUUUUAACAUUCCGUGAGUGAUUUGCAAUCAAGCUCUGAUUACCCCAACAAUGAGAUGUCACUGGCGUAUUUGUGUAUUUUAAUAGAGGGAGAGGGUUAGGUGUCUCUCGUAUAUGCGUGGCGGCUGUUGUUCUGAAUGGGUGAAUAGAGAAUACACAAUGUCAUUUAGAUAGUAUUACACGUUGAGUGGGUAGACUUCUUACCCCAAUUGGUUUAUCAAGCAGAAGUAUGUUUUGAAGUAGGUGUCGCUGUGGGCACACUUAAUUCGCAUGUUUGGUUUAUCUUAUGUGUUGUCUUGAUAAACAGAGUUAACAACA